UUGAUAAGCACGAAGUCUGAAGUCCUCUGUUUGCCCACAGAGCUGGUACAGUGCAGGAAGUGUAAAUGCAAGCUUCCCUGCAGUGCCCUGUGGGGUAAUUUGGUCUCUGGAAGUCACUGCAGAGAAAGUGCCAAUUCAUUUCAGUGGCAGUGGUGGCUUUGGUAAAGCAGGCAGUUGAACCUCUUUUGUUUUCUGAAGAAC
rnacentral:sRNA from 1 species